rnacentral:rRNA from 1 species
CAGUGCUGCAUGGCUGUCGUCAGCUCGUGUCGUGAGAUGUUCGGUUAAGUCCGCUAACGAGCGCAACCCUCGCUGUGUGUUACAAGUGUCACACGGUACUGCCGGUCUUAAGCCGGAGGAAGGUGGGGAUGACGUCAAGUCAGCAUGGCCUUUAUGUCCUGGGCUACACACACGCUACAAUGGCCAACACAAUAGGUUGCUAAGCCGCGAGGUGGAGCCAAUCCUCAAAGUUGGUCUCAGUUCAGAUUGCAGGCUGCAACCCGCCUGCAUGAAGAUGGAGUUGCUAGUAACCGCAGGUCAGCUAUACUGCGGUGAAUACGUUCCCGGGGCUU